AUCCCAUGAUUUGGACACUUCCUAAUCAACUACUUAAAUGUGUUCCAUGCAUAAUGAUAGCUCUCCCUAUCUUUCUAUUGAAAGGUUUGAAUCUCCGAUCUGAUUUU
rnacentral:snoRNA from 1 species